CAAAGAAUAGUUUAACUAAGAAUGUUAGCUUUGGGAGCUAUUGAUGGGGGUUAAAAUCCCCCUUCUUUGA
rnacentral:tRNA from 1 species